AGAAAUUGGAGGACAAGUACAUGACAAAGAGCAUAAAAAAUCGCCUCCAUUUGAAAAAGCAGUUUUACCAAUUCCAGUACAAAGAAGGAUGAUCUAUGAAAGAUGUUCUACAAGAUAGACGUUCAGAUUGUUGAAAUACAAUCUGGGAGUAGACCCCAUAAAAAUGUGUAUCAAAAGUUGAGUAAAAAAGUAGUCCCAUGGAUCCAGUCCUGUACAUAAUUGGCCCAAAUUGGGACCAUAAUUUCUUAUGACUAUGAGUAAGUUAUUACUUUA